AGUGAACGCGGGCGGUAGGCCUAACACAUGCAAGUCGAACGGCAGCACAGUAAGAGCUUGCUCUUACGGGUGGCGAGUGGCGGACGGGUGAGGAAUACAUCGGAAUCUACUUUUUCGUGGGGGAUAACGUAGGGAAACUUACGCUAAUACCGCAUACGACCUGCGGGUGAAAGCAGGGGAUCUUCGGACCUUGCGCGAUUGAAUGAGCCGAUGUCGGAUUAGCUAGGUGGCGGGGUAAAGGCCCACCAGGGCGACGAUCCGUAGCGGGUCUGAGAGGGUGAUCAGGCACACUGGAACUGCGACCCGGCCCCGAAUCCUACGGGAGGGAGGAGUGGCGAAUAUUGGACAAUGGGGGCAAGCCUGAUAAAGCCCUACCGCGUGGGUGAAGAAGGCCCCAGGGUGGUAAAGCCCUUAUGUUGGGAAAGAAAAGCAGCAGGUUAAGACCACGAGGUCCUGACGGUACCUAAAGAAUAAGCCCCGGCUAACUUCGUG
rnacentral:rRNA from 1 species